rnacentral:rRNA from 1 species
GGCCAUGGCGGCGUGCCUAUUAAUGCAGUCGAACGCUUUGUUUUUAAUUGAUAUGAAGAGCUUGCUCUGAUUUGAUUUUAUCUGACAAAGAGUGGCGAACGGGUGAGUAACACGUGGGUAACCUACCUCUUAGCAGGGGAUAACAUUUGGAAACAAGUGCUAAUACCGUAUAACACUAACAACCGCAUGGUUGUUAGUUGAAAGAUGGUUCUGCUAUCACUAAGAGAUGGACCCGCGGUGCAUUAGCUAGUUGGUAAGGUAAUGGCUUACCAAGGCGAUGAUGCGUAGCCGAGUUGAGAGACUGAUCGGCCACAAUGGGACUGAGACACGGCCCAUACUCCUACGGGAGGCAGCAGUAGGGAAUCUUCCACAAUGGGCGCAAGCCUGAUGGAGCAACGCCGCGUGUGUGAUGAAGGGUUUCGGCUCGUAAAACACUGUUAUAAGAGAAGAACGACAUUGAGAGUAACUGUUCAGUGUGUGACGGUAUCUUAUCAGAAAGGAACGGCUAAAUACGUGCCAGCAGCCGCGGUAAUACGUAUGUUCCAAGCGUUAUCCGGAUUUAUUGGGCGUAAAGCGAGCGCAGACGGUUAUUUAAGUCUGAAGUGAAAGCCCUCAGCUCAACUGAGGAAGGGCUUUGGAAACUGGAUAACUUGAGUGCAGUAGAGGAAAGUGGAACUCCAUGUGUAGCGGUGAAAUGCGUAGAUAUAUGGAAGAACACCGGUGGCGAAAGCGGCUUUCUGGACUGUAACUGACGUUGAGGCUCGAAAGUGUGGGUAGCAAACAGGAUUAGAUACCCUGGUAGUCCACACCGUAAACGAUGAGUGCUAGAUGUUCGAGGGUUUCCGCCCUUGAGUGUCGCAGCUAACGCAUUAAGCACUCCGCCUGGGGAGUACGACCGCAAGGUUGAAACUCAAAGGAAUUGACGGGGACCCGCACAAGCGGUGGAGCAUGUGGUUUAAUUUCGAAGCAACGCGAAGAACCUUACCAGGUCUUGACAUCCCUUGCUAAUCCUAGAAAUAGGAUGUUCCCUUUCGGGGACAGGUGACAGGUGUGCAUGAUGUCGUCAGCUCGUGUCGUGAGAUGGUGGUAGUCCCGCACGAGCGCAACCCUAAUAAUAGUGCAGCAUUCAUUGGCACCUCUAGUGGAGACUGCCCGGGUGAACAAUCCGGAG